rnacentral:rRNA from 1 species
AUUUCCUACGGGAGGCAGCAGUAGGGAAUAUUGCUCAAUGGGGGAAACCCUGAAGCAGCAACGCCGCGUGGAGGAUGAAGGUUUUCGGAUUGUAAACUCCUUUUGUUAGAGAAGAUAAUGACGGUAUCUAACGAAUAAGCACCGGCUAACUCCGUGCCAGCAGCCGCGGUAAUACGGAGGGUGCAAGCGUUACUCGGAAUCACUGGGCGUAAAGAGCGCGUAGGCGGGAUAGCAAGUCAGAUGUGAAAUCCCGCGGCUCAACCGCGGAACUGCAUUUGAAACUGUCAGUCUUGAGUAC